UCAGUCUUGACAGUGACUUUGCCCGAUUCCCUGCUCGUGAUUGUCCCUUUCACAAAGGACUCCUUUGCAUGUACCACGAAGACAGAUGUCUUGGCAUCAAAAGGGCUGGAUUCCACCAAUGCUGGAAGCAAAACACAGCCCAGCUGAGCGAGACAGGACAGAAUGAAGGAUGUGUAUGGGAACAGUCUGUUCUGCCCAGAAAUGCAGCUUGGGCAAAGCACUGGAGUGCUGAUAUUCUCCGUGGAGGAAAGGGGAUUCAGGCAUCCUGAAGACAGGCUCUUGAUGAGAAGAAGAUCACAGAAUGACAGAACCUGGUCCAACUCCUCCUGGACAGGGGAGUUUCUUUAAUAAAUAAGAAUAUCUGUAUCCA